rnacentral:rRNA from 1 species
UCGAGAGGCAUCGGCAAUGGGGGAAACCCUGACCGUGCGACGCCGCGUGAGGGAUGAAGCUCUUCGGGGUGUAAACCUCUUUUCCGGGGGAAGAACCCUGUACGGUCGAAUAAGCCGUACAGCUGACGGUACCCCGGGAAUAAGCUCCGGCUAACUACGUGCCAGCAGCCGCGGUAAAACGUAGGAGGCGAGCGUUAUCCGGAAUUACUGGGCGUAAAGCGCGCGUAGGCGGUGGUUUAAGUGGUGCGUGAAAGCUCCUGGCUCAACUGGGAGAGGACGUACCAAACUGAAUGACUAGAGAUGGACAGAGGCAAGUAGAAUUCCGGGUGGAGUGGUGAAAUGCGUAGAGAUCCGGAGGAAUACCAGUGGCGAAGGCGACUUGCUGGGUCAUAUCUGACGCUGAGGUGCGAAAGCGUGGGGAGCGA